GACGCAGCAUCACCCUUGGGCAAGCGACCGGACCAACACGACAGUCAAGUGAAGUAAAUUGACAAGACUUGCGGGUGGAAGGGAGCAAAACGAUGUGUGUGUGUGUGUGUGUGUGUGUGUGUGUGUCCGCCAUACUCCCACGGCCAAGCGAAUAAUUGUUUUUAUUGGCCGGCAAACCGACUCUUUGACUCCUAUACGCCGGGCUCCCCUUCGCGUCCCCUCCGCCCCCCGCCGCCCCCUGCCAGACCCCCGCCGCCCGUAUGUUCAUUAUUAGCGGCUCAAUGAGGGUGAGAUAUGGGGAGUGAGGGGAGCUAAGAGGGGGGAAGGAGUGACGUAUGGGGAGUGAGGGGAGCUGCCGUGGGGGAAGAGGAGGAGGGACGGGGUAGAGUCAGAGCUUACGUGGUGGUUGUGGUGGUGGUGGGAUGCGCAGAAGUGUCGCGCGCAGAGGGAGGGAGACAGGGAGAGGCAGGGAGGGUGUGCGGGGUGAGAACUGUCCGCGUGAGGCACAGGAAUGGCCGAUAGUUCCUCGCGGGCUGCCAGGCGAACAGCAUCCCCCGAGGCGGUUCGCUUCUCCCUCCGGCGUGCGCGAAGACGCGACUCAACGAUCCCGAAUCUUAAUUAGGAAAACAAAGCAGGUGAAAGAAAAAGAAACGAGGAAAACAACAACGACGCUGUAUUUUUCCACCUGUUCUACUUAAGUGAAACCCAAAACAAAAAAAAACAAAAAAAAUCCAAGGCAAAGGAAAGAACCGCACUGAGAAAAUAAUAAUCGAGUGAAAACAACAAGAACAAGAAUGGAGGAGGAGAUGAACGUGCCGCCGAGGUGUCACUGCGUUGGCUCGUCGUAUUGUGUGUUUUGAGCGGCGCCACAAAACCCGCGUCAAUGGAAGGAUAAUUAGCAGAGAAAACACUAAUUAUGCCGCCCAAAAAGUGUGUGUUCGUGACGCGCCGUGCAUAACUCACCCCUCCGCUCCGUCCCGCCGGCUUGCUCUCUCCCCUUACCUCACCUCCUCCUCCUCCUCCUCCUCCUCCGACCUCGUCCUCCUCCGUGUCCUCCUCCUCCUCUUUCCCUCUUGAGAAGUGUGACUCGCCGCGUGGAAUGGAUUAAAAAAAGAAACCAGAAAAGUUAUGAAAGAGAAGAAACUUGAUUAAGCAAAACACAAAGAGAAAUACGUGGAAUUCUAACUAAAAUAUACCAAAAAAUAAGAAAAAAGUAAAUAAAAUAAUAGAAAGGAAAAUAAAACAAAGAAAAACAAAAAUAACAUUUGCAAAAGUUAAAAACGAGAAAAAGAUAAACCACGUGAUUAAAAAAAAAAGAAUAAAACAAAAUAUACUUGAAAAAUAAAACA